AGAAGCUGUAUCGGAGCUUCGGAAGUGCACGAAAGCUCUAAAUUGGUGUCUUGUUGUAUCUCACUAUCUUGCUUAUUUAGAAUCUACGGGAUAUACACGUAAAGUAGAUUGGAUGUUAGACUCUGAUGUCUCGGUGAAACGGAAACGGACUGGCAAACAUCGCAUUGCCAUUAACACAACUAAAAAUGGUCAAGGAGGCUGAAGAAGGGGGUUGAAUUCAUCAUCAACUAGAAAGGGUUUACUGGCAAGCAAUUUUUUUUGAUUCACAGAAUGUAAGACUCAGAAUAUCAUCUGAUAGAGGGUCUAGCAUCCAUUUUGCACUCUUCUGUGAUAAAUAUGCAGGAGAGCGAUUUUAGAACUUAUGCAGGAUUGUCAAAGGUCCUGAGUCUGAGGCAUACUGUGAAGAUUUAAUUACUGAAGCGGAAAACAAUGCCGUAUGGACGUACAAUCACAAGACACAAAUAUCUGCACCUGAUGCCACUCACCAUCCAGGUGUAAUAUAAAGCCAGUAGGACCGAUUCUUUGAAUCGUCUGAGCACCCUAAUAAAAGCCUUCCUCGGCUUUGAUUGAGCGAAACUUUAACGAACGUAGGAUCCAUCAUCUCGGACUCGGGGCAAUGACUUCACAUCUUCAUACGAUGGUAGUGGGGAGAGAAAGGAGGAACGGUAAGGAGGAGAAUCGGAUGAAAAGGAAGGCGGAAGAGGGCAAGGUAA